GUCAGAUUUCCCCAUACACCCAUCAUAUAAAAUAGAAGGGACAAUUUGGUAUAGAACUCUGUAUUAUUUGAUUGUAGACUCUCUUUUCAUUUUUUUGGUCCCUCGUUUAUUUACUUUUUACUAUAAAAUUUAGCUCCAACAAAUCUUUUUAUGCCAUUUCAUCCCAAAACCUUUUUCAACCUAUUUUUCUCUAUCCACCCAUU
rnacentral:lncRNA from 1 species